CGUCAAGCUUGGCUGCUUAAGGGAUUCCAGCUCCUCCGAAGAAAGACGAGGUGGGGAGGUGGCCGAAUGCUAGGAAGCUUCAGGACUUGAAAAGCACGGCUGAGGAUAACAAUACAGUUGGAAGCCCGCGAAGCCGGGGGCUGGAUCACUCUGGUGGCUGCUUUGUCCUCUUGUUCGCGCCAGAUCUGGGAUUAAACUGCAUCAUGCCACAGAUCCACCCACCAGUCCCCCCCCAGCACUCGGACCAGACAUCUCGAUUCCAGGAUGCUCAGGCAAUCAAGUGAGGGGGAGCUGAUCUCCCAGCUGAGAGGUGCUCUGGGGAAAGAUGGCGUUUUGCCAUAUCCCUGCCAGGAAAUCCAGUUCCUGAGCAGAUGGUUCAGCUCGACCCCGCCAGGUAGCUCGGAGUUCAUUAGCAGGCCCUAGAUGCUGCAGUUUAUAGUCUGAAGCUUCCCAGCACCCGUCCGAGGACUGUGGCUGGCUAUCAAAAGAGGAGAUGGGUUUAUAAUCAAGAACAUCUUUCAUCGUUAAUCUCCUGAUCCUGAUCUGGUUUGUGUAUAUUAUCCCAGGUCCAUGCACUAACAAUCCUUCCAUGUAUUUGUUGGCCUCACACCCCUACAAACCAGCAGUGUCCCUCCCUUGUGCAGGUGGAGAAGUGAGAUCCAGGCAGAUUAAGUGACUUGCCUGAGGUCACACAGGAAGUAAGUGGCAGAGCUGGGAAACAAACCUGGGUGCCCGGGCCUCUCCUGUGUAUGGAGCCAUCACUCAGGUCCUUUGAGCUGGGCCUCUUCCUCGCAAUGCCUGACUCCAUCACUGUAAAGGUCGGUCUCUCCGCUGCGGAGGUUAAUCAGUGCGGCACUAAGCACUUUGACGAGCUGGUUAGCUGCAGCUGGAGCCUGUUAACCAGCCUGCCUGUUUGGCUGUGGGCUGUAUUUAAGGUCAAACAGCCGCUUUUUGGUUUCAGCGUGCUAGGCCUGGUUUCUGCCUGUCUCUCGAAUGCAGAUGCUUCAUCUGUGGGAUAGCAAGCUCUUCAGGGCAGAAACAGAGCUCAGUCAGUGUUUGUACACCUCCUGGAGCUGCAGGACCCCAAUCUGAUUUGCACAGAGCUGAAGGCCAGAGCAUCUUAUCUGAGCAGCUUGCUUUUGCCAUGCGAAGGAAAGUAACACUUCUGCUCUGCAACCCAGUCAGCUGCCUCUGCUAAGGAAAAGAAACUGCUGAAGAUCUUUCUAGCCACCUGCUUCUGGCUGGAGACAAAUUUCAAAUGCCGGUCACCCACGUCUGGCAGUGAUAGAGGAGGGUAGAUAUAUUGUCUUUACUAAUAGGUGUGUUGUUCAGAAGAAUUCCUCUUUGCAGUUGACCAUUGCAUUCAAAAGUCUUUAAAUAUAAAGUGCAUGAUGUUCUUUGGCUAAAUCAAUAUAGUGGGUGGUGAUCCGUCUCCUCGCAGAGCUAUGACCAGCAGCUGGAGAAGGGUUUUUUUUUUCUUUUAGAUAUUUUCCAACUUUUUUUUUUAAUUUCAAAAAGUAGAUUUGACAAGAGCAUCCUUUCAACCAAUAAACAGAAUCACAUCCCAAAUAUAGUGGCAGGGGUGAGGAAAGCAGGAAAAUCCCCAGUCAGAACUAGAGGUUUCCUGACUAUAAAUAUUCAAUAACCUCCCAGCCAGGGACUGCAUUCCCCCUUCUUUCAUUUGUCUGGGGCUUGCUAAAUACGUCUAUGACAUGCUAUUUAUUUCGGGAUGCAGCGAUCCUGGCAUGCCUCCUGUUUCACAACUAGAUCACUACCACUCUGUGUGUUGAGUAAAGCCGGGCUCUUCACGCAUGAAGCCACCUUUAGUUUUUAUUCUCCCAUUUUUCUCUCCAUUCAAUUUAGGCUUCAUUUACACCCAUAGAAUCCUAUCAAAAAAGCCAGAGUUGAAUGGAGGUGCACAGUGCUGCCUAUGUGGACAAAUACUGGGUGUUGCAACUGGAGUGCGAAGGGGAGAUGGAUGCGAUGAAUGCGUUGGCUUGGUCUUGACUGAAAUCGUCUAUUAAGUAUCUCCAUGAAUGAGCACUGAUAGGUAAUUGUGAAAGGAAAGAAGAAUAAUUUAGCCUUAGAAUGACUUAUCCCUGAUUUCCCAGGAA